CCCACUACGGUAACAUACGAGGGUAUCCAAACAACACAUACUAUCCAAAUAAAAAAAUAUGGAGUUCCGGUUUAGACCAUGGGCGUGCGACGACCCCGAUGUAAUUCGGGACAUCACGGUCUUCGUUAAUGUUAAUAAGCGUCCGUCAGAUCAGUAGGCGAAACGCAAUAUCCGCACAAUAAGAUGUCUGCGACCCGAAAGAAUAUUCAAAGUAAGCUGUUAAUUUUGUUGCGUCAGAAGCUAAUCAGCCGGUAACGUGACUACACUGAUAUAAUUUGUGAUACAAACAUGCUUUAUUCAAUACUGAGUAGCAUUUUUAAACGGCGACAUUUUGAAUAUUUUUAUAUUUAGAGUAAGAGUGGAUACAGUACUGUUACACUGGCGCCGACAAUGGCGACAUUUUGAAAAUUUGAGAAAACAAAAACAUUCUCCAACGAGUUCUUCAGCUCGGGGAAUGAGAGCAUAGAUUCACCUUUGUGUCGCUUUUCAGAUCGUAUUUUAAUUCCUUUCCGGUACUUUAGUUUCUUUGAACUUCUCUGUUACUCACUAAGCAUACAGUAUUAAGAAAUCCGUGAUUUGUCUUGCAUGACUGAUAAAUGGAAUUAUUUUACUUUUAUAUAGAAUAUGGACGGCACUCCAGUACAGCAUGUGCAUGGCUGGACCUGUUGACAUUUUUAGAAACGCAUCUUGGUCUAUUAUACAGAGUAUUGUUGUACUGCUCCAAACCACUUGCUUGCAGCUCAUAAGGUUUACUUCUUGAGAGAAGGCAGCUACAAAAUGGAAGGUCAACAAAUCCAGUAUACUUGGAAAGCAAGAAAGAAACACCAGAAAAUAUGAAAAGACAGAAAUACAAGGGAACUUGAAUAAAAAAAAAACUUUUAAGGAUAGGAAUUCAGGAUUUACUUGGAAACUAAAUUUAUUUUGAGAGCAGCAGUGAUUGACUAAGCUCUGUUACUUUAAGAGAUAAUGUAUUAUCACAUUGGUUUUGUUAUUGUCGAGCCCGCUUGGGGAAGCGAAGACAUAGUUGUCCAUAUGUCUGUUCGGUGUAUGUGCGUGCGUGCGUCCGUCCGGAUUUGUUUGUCCAGACCAUAAUUUGGACCUGCAUGGAGCAAUCUUGUUUAUAUUUGGUAUGAAUGUUAACCUCAGUGAGACGGAGUGUCAUGCACAAACCCCAGGUUCCUAUCUCAAAGGCCAAGGUCACACUUACAGGUCAAAUUCAAAAAUGACUGUCUGGAGCAUUUCUUCUUCAUGCAUGGAGGGAUUUUGAUGUAACUUGGCACAAUUGUUCACCAUCAUGAGAUGGAGUGUGAUGUGCAAGAACCAGGUCCCUAAGUCUAAGGUCAAGGUCACACUUAGAGGUCAAAGGAUACAAGAAUGACAACAUUGUCCGCAGUAUUUCUUCUUCAUGUAUGGAGGGAUUUUGAUGUAACUUGGCACAAAUGUUCACCACCAUGAGACGGAGUGUCAUGCGGAAGAACCAGUUCCCUAAGAUCAAGGCCACACUUAGAGGUCAAAAGUCAGAUACAAGAAUGACUUUGUCUGGAGCAUUUCUUUUUGAUGCAUAGAGGGAUUUUGAUGUAACUUGGCACAAUUGUUCAUCAUCAUGUGACGGAGGGUCAUGCAUAAGAUCCUAGAAUUACUUCCCUUUGUUGUUACUAUAAAUAGCUUACAUUUGUAACUUUUUUAUUACUGGUCAUAGGGAAAAAUCAAGACCACUUUUCUGUAGUACAACAUGCAUGUUACAUCCAAUUUUCAGGUGUAUUUUGACCUAUCUCUGGUGGUGCGGAUUUUUGUGUGGACUUAGAAUUUUUUUAUAUAUAUUUUUUUUUUAUUUUUUUUUUUUUAAAUUUACGUUCCUUUGUUGUUACUGUAAAUAAUUUAUAUUGUUACUUUUUGCAGUCUCUUUUAUUUGGCAUAAAUGUUUGCCUCAAUGAGACAAGGAGUGUCGUGUACAACUCCCAGUCCUUUUGACAGCUGGCGGGCUCGACAUAUUGCCCAUGGGCAUCUAGUUUCAUAAAAACAUACUAAAGUUUCAUUAAUCUUAUUUUAGAUAAUUGUUUUCUGGUUUAUUUUGUAAAGAAUGUCUACUACAUUGUAAUUAACAUAGUUACAGUAAAGUAAUAUUUUCAUGAGAUUUUAAAGAGAAUGUUCUGUUAUACCCCCAUGUAGUAAGCUUGUCUGUCUUUCAGUCAGUAGGUUUUCAUGGCUUCCAGAUGAUAACUCCUGAAAAGCUUGACCAAUUUAAAUAUUUUUUGGUACAUGUACAUAGGUACAGGUCAAGACGACUUUGGGGUCAGUAGGUCAAAGGUCAAGAUAACUUGCAAACGCUUUGGCCUGGGAUCAUAGCUUUUGUAACACAGGUGUAACAUGAUAAAAUACAGGUUGUUUGAAUUUGAGGUCAAUAAAUCAAAGGUCAAGGUCACAGUGACCUUGAACAGUUGAACCGUUUCCGAAUGAUAACUUGAGACCUUGAGCCUAGGAUGAUAAAGUUUGGUACACAGGUGUCACAUCAUGAAAUACAGGUCAAGUUUUAGUUUGAGGUCAGUAGGUCAAAGUCACAAUAAGGCAAAACAGUGAAAUGUUUUUCAGAUUAUAACUUGAGAAUGCUUGAGCCUAGGAUCAUGAAAAUUGUUAGGGAGGUUGAUUAUGACCAGCAGGUGACCCCUAAUGAUGUUGAGGUCAGUAGGUCACAGGUCAAGGUCACACUGACCCGGUUCUUUAAAAUAAUGCACGGAGGGGCACCUGGGGUCCUCCUCCACCAUUAAAACUGGAAAGUCGCCAUAUGACCUAUCUUGUGUCGGUGUGAUGUUAAAUUCAACAAAAUAACGGUUCUUUAAAACAGUUUUUGGACAAUAACUUCAGGAUGCUUGGGAUGAGAAACACAAAAUUUAGUACAAGGUUGGUCUUGACCAGCAGAUUACCUGUAUUGAUUUAGAGUUCCAAACGUCAGGAUGACGGGGGAACAUUUAAACCUUUUCCAUACAACAAGGUGAGCUUUUGUGAUCGCCCUGUGUCCGAUGUCCGUUCAGUCCGUCGUCAACAAUUUGACUGUUAACACUCUAGAGGUCACAAUUUUGACCUAAUCUUUAUGAAACUUGGUCAGAAUGUUAACCUUAAUAAAAUAUUGGACACAUUUGAUAUUGGGUCAUCUGGAGUCAAAAACUAGGUCACAAAGUCAAAUCAAAGGAAAAGCUGUGUUAAGCUGGUUAACACUGUAGAGGUCACAAUUAAGACUAUAUUUUCAUGAAACUUGGUCAGAAUGAUUACCUUGAUGAUCUCAAGGUCCAGUCUGAAUCUGGGUUAUGUAGGGUCAAAAACUAGGUCACUAGGUCAAAUCAAAGAAAAAACUAGUUUACACUCUAGAAGCCACAUUUAUGACCAUAUCUUAAUGAAACUUGGUCAAAAUAUUAAUCUUAAUGAUCCAUAGAUCAGAUUAAAAUCUGGCUUAAGUGGGGUCAAAAACGAGGUCACCAGGUUAAAUCAAGGGAAAAGCUUGUUAACACUCUGGAGGUCACAAUUUUGGCCCAAUCUUAAUGAAACUUGGUCAGAAUGUUACUCUCAAUAAAAUAUUGGACGAGUUUGAAAUUGGGUCAUCUAGGAUCAAAAACUAGGUCACCAGGCCAAAUCAAAGGAAAAGCUUGUUAACACUGUAUUGGCCACAUUUAUGACCAUAUCUUAAUGAAACUUGGUCAGAAUUUUAAUCUUGAUGAUCUAUAGGCCAAGUUAAAUCUGGGUCAGGUGGGAUUAAAAACUAGGUCACUAGGUCAAAUCAAAGGAAAAGCUUGUUAACACAUUAGAGGCCACAUUUAUGACUGCAUCUUCAUGAAACUUAAACAGAAUGUUAAUCUUGAUGAUCUUUAAGUCAAGUUUGAAUCUGGGUCAUGUGGGGUCAAAAACUAGGUCAUCAAGUCAAAUCAAAGGAAAAGCUAGUUAACUCUUUAGAGGCUACAUUUAUGAUCAUAUCUUAAUGUAACUUGGUCAGAAUGUUAUCUUGAUGAUCUUUAGGUCAAUAUGUCAGGUGAGCGAUACAGGGCCAUCAUGGCCCUCUUGUUUAUUUGUUCUUGUUGUAAGAGAAAUUGUACAUUUUAGAAUACAGAUUACAGCAAGUCACAUUUUCUUUAUUUUGACAAUACUUAUUUCAAAGCCUGACAAAAGUAUACUGUUAUUAAAAAUGUUAUUCACAGUUCAGCUCUAUUUCUUGUAUGGAUAAAACAAUUAUGUGAUCUGUGAUCAUUAUAAAUGUGUAUACAGAUAAACCUUAAACAUGUGAACAUUUUAUUCAAUAAAUAAAGUGUAAUGCAAGUCUUUGUAAUGUGUAUAUAAAAGCAAAAUUAGGAUUUGUUUUACGAGUAAUUUCAGAAUUACACUUAACACAAAUAGAAAAAAAUCAAGCCUGCACAAGAAGGCUAAUAUGUCUCCCUAGACUGAGCUCUUAACCUGCGGUGGUGCAAAUAGA